rnacentral:rRNA from 1 species
GAUGAACGCUGGCGGCGUGCCUAAUACAUGCAAGUCGAGCGAACAGACGAGGAGCUAGCUCCUCUGACGUUAGCAGCGGACGGGUGAGUAACACGUGGAUAACCUACCUAUAAGACUGGGAUAACUUCGGGAAACCGGAGCUAAUACCGGAUAAUAUAUUGAACCGCAUGGUUCAAUAGUGAAAGACGGUUUUGCUGUCACUUAUAGAUGGAUCCGCGCCGCAUUAGCUAGUUGGUAAGGUAACGGCUUACCAAGGCAACGAUGCGUAGCCGACCUGAGAGGGUGAUCGGCCACACUGGAACUGAGACACGGUCCAGACUCCUACGGGAGGCAGCAGUAGGGAAUCUUCCGCAAUGGGCGAAAGCCUGACGGAGCAACGCCGCGUGAGUGAUGAAGGUCUUCGGAUCGUAAAACUCUGUUAUUAGGGAAGAACAAAUGUGUAAGUAACUAUGCACGUCUUGACGGUACCUAAUCAGAAAGCCACGGCUAACUACGUG